CACGGAGGAUGCGAGCGCUAUCCGGAUUUAUUGGGUUUAAAGGGUGCGUAGGCGGGAUGCCAAGUCAGCGGUAAAAAUGCGGUGCUCAACGCCGUCGAGCCGUUGAAACUGGCGUUCUUGAGUGGGCGAGAAGUAUGCGGAAUGCGUGGUGUAGCGGUGAAAUGCAUAGAUAUCACGCAGAACUCCGAUUGCGAAGGCGGCAUACCGGCGCCCUACUGACGCUGAGGCACGAAAGCGUGGGUAUCGAACAGG
rnacentral:rRNA from 1 species